ensembl:lncRNA
UUUUUUACAAACCUUAAUUUUUGGUGCCCCCUCAGGUACUUGGUGCCCUGCGUACUCUGCGUAUAGGGAGCGGCGGGCCUGCAUAGCCCUAACCUGAUUCAGUUAGCCGCGCUACUGGAUGCUCUGCGUCAAGAGGUACAAAGACUGUCUGACGGAGGAGAGGGAGGCGGUGGUUCAGCAGGUCAGUGACCUGGAGCAGACCGUCCUGAAGCCCAGGGGAUGUUCCCACUGCAGCAGACAGUACCACUGCCCCCUGCAGGACAGGGGCAGCAACUCCAGGCAUCGGCACCAGUCUAUGUGUGGUGCAGAGUUCCGGGCUGACCAGCAGGGGGAGCCGUGGUCAGCCCUGUGUGAGGACAAAGUCAUCACUCAGGUGGGAGGCGUGGUCGACACGGAGCAGAAACCUCCUUGAGGUUCUCCCUCCGACCAGACGAGUGUGGCUCUCCUCCCAGCCCUCUUUAGAAGAUCGAAGAACACCAGAGAGACUGUACGUCGGAACUCCGUCCGCACUCUGGUUUCACUGUUGUUAUUGUGGAGUGAACACUGAAAUAAUAAAGAGACAAUGAAGACAUGCUGUGUUGAGGUUCCUUCUCGUCUACACAUGCACCAAACAUGCACGUCUGGUUCCGUUUAGCGGUAAUAGCACGGUAAUCACCACCUGCAGACCAGCGAAUGCACCUGAGAGUUUGGGUUUGGUGUGUUCUCCUGCCAGACACUGGGGGGAACAAAACAGCUGGUGUCAACAGGAAACGAGGCUAGG